rnacentral:rRNA from 1 species
UGGGGAAUAUUGGACGAUGGGGGCAACCCUGAUCCAGCCAUGCCGCGUGCGUGAAGAAGGCCUUAGGGUUGUAAAGCGCUUUCAGCGGGGACGAUGAUGACGGUACCCGCAGAAGAAGACCCGGCUAACUCCGUGCCAGCAGCCGCGGUAAUACGGAGGGGGCAAGCGUUGUUCGGAAUUACUGGGCGUAAAGGGCGCGUAGGCGGCACAUCAAGUCAGAGGUGAAAGGCCCGGGCUCAACCUGGGACGUGCCUUUGAAACUGAUUGUCUUGAGUGCGGAAGAGGGUGACGGAAUUCCCAGUGUAGAGGUGAAAUUCGUAGAUAUUGGGAAGAACACCGGUGGCGAAGGCGGUCACCUGGUCCGCAACUGACGCUGAGGCGCGAAAGCGUGGGGAGCAAACAGGAUUAGAUACCCCCGUAGUCC